AUGCUUGAUCUUGUGGAGCUCCAGCGCCACGCCUGCUAUCAGCGAGAGGAGAACCAACUGGCUGCAGCUCCAGUACCUCCGCUCCGCAAUAUUGACCUCGAUGGGAUAGUCCCUCCCCUGAAUCAGGUUGAGGAGGAGUUUACACGAGUCGCUCGCUAUGCGCAGGGAAUCCAGAGAGACGAGCUCUACAGACAGGAGCUGAUCGGAGCGUUUCCGCAGGGCUUGGAGGUCGGCAUGGCAGAAGAUGCGUACGCGGACCAUCCCUUUUUCCCUUUUCUUUCCCUUUUGGCGGCGGCGGCGGCGACACGGAGGUGCGGCGGCGGCGAGGAGGAGAUGGUGGUGGUUGUUGCGGCGGCGAUGGGGGCGAUCUGUUUGCUAGCGUUAGAUGGGAUUUAG
rnacentral:rRNA from 1 species